AGAUUAGAUCUCCUUAUAAGGGUGGUUAUAGACGAUGACCUUGAUAGGCUACAGGUGUAAAGAUGGUGACAUCAAAGCCGAGUAGUACUAAUAGCCCGAAAUUUUUGCGC
rnacentral:rRNA from 1 species